GAUGAACGCUAGCGGCAGGCUUAAUACAUGCAAGUCGAGGGGUAGCAAGAUUGUAGCAAUACAAUUGUUGACGACCGGCAAACGGGUGCGGGACACGUACACAACCUUCCUACAAGUGGGGAAUAGCCCAGAGAAAUUUGGAUUAAUACCCCGUAACAUAGCGAUGUGGCAUCACAUUGCUAUUAUAGCUUCGGCGCUUGUUGAUGGGUGUGCGGCUGAUUAGAUAGUUGGCGGGGUAACGGCCCACCAAGUCUCCGAUCAGGAGCUGAUGUGAGAGCAUGAUCAGCCACACGGUCACUGAGACAAGUGCACUUCCCUACUGGAGGCAGCAGUAAGAAAUAUUGGACAAUAGAUGCACGUCUGAUCCAGCCAUGCCGCGUGAAGGAUUAAGGUCCUCUGGAUUGUAAACUUCUUUUAUAAGGGACGAAAAAAGGUCUUUCUAGAUCGUCUGACGGUACCUUAUGAAUAAGCACCGGCUAACUCCGUGCCAGCCGCCGCCGUAACAC
rnacentral:rRNA from 1 species